UAGAUGAUCAUAAUGGUCCCUUCUGACCUUAAAGUCUAUGAGUCUAUGAAAUGAGAAUAAUCUCAGGCUAGAUCUCCGGAGGAGCACCUGCAUAAUCACUUUAAAAUGUUUGAAAAGGGAUAGUUAUAGACAUAAAUGGCCAGAUAAACACCUAAACCCUUCUUGUGCAAAGAGUCCUUUUUCAGUGCAGGACUCUUGCCUUCUGCCUUCUUAAAAAUUUGGAAUGCAGAAAUUUGCCCUGGAAGAUCAUCUAAUCUAGCCAGCUUCUUAUAUAUAUAUUUUCUUAGCAUGUCACAUGAACACUCUUUGGACCAACUAGACAAAAAGGAGACAAGGAAAGAGAAUUGCUAUGGAUUAAUUACAUUUUGAGAACAAUCUCUUCACUUUCUCCACACAUUUGGAACAUUACCUAGGGAGCUCCCUGUAAAAUGUAAAUAAGCUCCCUUUCAAAAGGAGCAAAGAAAGGGGAAAUAUGCUUCAAAUGGCUGCACGUGCAUAAGUGUUUGAAUCAAUACUCAAAUAAUUUAAACAGGCCAAAUCAACAGUACUCCAGCGGGCAUAAGACAACUGAUAACCAGCCAGAGGCUAUGCACAAAUAUGAGAAUGCCUCUGCAAUUAGAGUCCCCCAGAAAGAGGCUGGACUUUGUCAAGUGGCCGAGCCAGAGGGAACAGUCACUACACUAAGAGUAGACAGGGUCAAAGGAGAGUGUGGGAAAGUGAAUCAAGAGUUGUUGUAGAACUACAUACAGAUGGCCACACAUUCUGGUGUGGCAGCUUUGUUACAGGGGCCUCUGUAACAAAGCCUCUGAGAAUUUUUCUCAUUUAAGCCUCCGAGGAUUUUAAUGCCUCUUCAAAAUAGACAUCCAGAUGUCAGAAUGACAUUGUGCCCUCUAAUAACUCAGCGAACAAUCCAACUUGAUUUUAUAAGAAGGCUUGAUGAAUAGUAGACUGACAACAAAGAUCCAUAAUGUCACUAAAGAUGGACUAGAACAACAGUAAUAUGCUGUCUUCAGUUUUGUUGAAAAAAAUCAGAAGCUAAUGGAUAAGCCUUUUCUUUACAUCCCAAAUGGCUGAAGUGCUGUAUUGAACCAACAUUUCUGGUUGAAGGGGAACACGCAGACACCUCACUGCACAAACUGUUGUUUCUUCUUCUCCAAGUAGCAAACAUCCACCUUCUGUCAAAGGAACUCUAAACCCACAGUCAUGCAUACAAUAUUGGUUGGUUUUCCCAACUCCUUAGGAAAUAUCACCUGUCUUAUAGGAGGAUACAUGAAUUUAUGUCCUUAUGAAGCUCAACUGGGCAUUUUUAUGAUUAUGCCACUGGUUUCUUCAGACUAGUCAAAAACUUCACACCAGCUGGUGACAAGUAGUAAAGCUGUCUUACUGCUUCUGACAUUAUCAUGUGAGAGAGACAUGGUAUGACUUUGCUUCCACAUAAUGUGCAUCUAUUUGGGCACAUCUAUUGUGUAAGGAGUACAUGUGCAGCAUCCAGCCCUGCCACAAACAAAGUUUCAGACGUACGCACAUGCACUUGCAUUUUUCAGAUACAAACACGUGCACACGCUCCAUUCAAAGUCCAAUCUGUGUCUGGGGGAGCAAGUUUAUAGAGCUUGCACCUACAAAACUUCUAUUAGUGGCUUAUGUUAAAUUCCUCAAAGGAAGAGGGUAAAGGACAGGAAGAGUGGAGCAAGCUACCACAAUUUGGGAAGGUUAUAUAGGUACGUUUGAAGGCCCACUUCAAUGUAUCCUUAGACAUAACUCAUAAGGUGCUUUAAUACAAAGUGACAAAAGGAAGGAACACUGAGACACAGGCUGCACACUGAAGAAUUAACUUCUUGCUUUCCCCUUUCAGUCUCCCUGGUCUCAGAGUGGAAACGUGGCUAUUCUAAACCCAGGGCAGAUUUUCUGGAAGAACUUUCUCUGAAAUCAGAAGAUGACCUUUCUGGCUGUUAUCAGGCUCCAUUUUAAGUCACAAGAAAGGAGCUUAUAAGUCAGGAAGCCCAUGCUGGCACUCCAGCUUCACCCUCCCUUCACCUCUCACCAUGAGGUUGGAGCGCCAACAUCUUCUCUUGGGGGAGGGGGAAGGAGGAAGAAAGCCUUGAGCCUCACUGCACAAUCACUCAUGGUGAAGAAGCACGCUCCUUCCCCUCCCUCAGCUGGGACAGGCUGCUGGAGGCUUUGCCUGCUGCUCCCAUUGGCCAGAAUCCAGCCCAAGGACUGGCACAGAAGAUGAAGUCAAGGUAUGUCUACACUGCAAGGUAAUUCAAAAUAAUGGCUGUCUCUGAGGACCCAAAACACACUGAUUGCACCUUCUCCUCCUCCUCUCUUGCUGGCUUCAUUGUGGGCCAAUGGUGCACUUGCACUGAGGCUCUUCUACUGCGAGCUGAACUUAUUGAAGAGUUGAAAUCAUUGUUUACUGAGGGGAGCCUGGUGCCAUACUGCUGAAUAGCUGAAAUCUACUGUGAGCUGAAAUCACUGUUGCUGAGCUACUAGCAGAGCAGAUUGUGGGACGGCUAACAGAGCAGUUUGCAGGGGAGACUGGUGGACGCAGGGACUGGAGAAAUGGAAAGGAGAACAGAACUUGGAGGCAACAAUCAAGGGCAGCUUGACUCCUGAAGACUGAGGGUAGCCAGCCCUAACUCCUGAAGAGACACACCUACAUUGGGUCAGGAGAUUCCUUAUAAAGAGGUGCAAGAAACUGCUGGAUAUUAAUGACAAGAGAAAGACAACUGGGCUGGGGCUGGUGGCUUUGGGUGGACAGACUAGGAGAAGAUCUCCGUGGGUGGCAGAACAACUCGGGCUGAGCAUCAGCUUGUGUUAUGGUUGUGGACUUCAUUUUGGGGAUUCUCUGAGGAUUGUCUGAACAAUUUCUGUUGUUAAACCAGCCUGGAUGAAAGGGCUGUUGGCCACAAGAGAGGCUGUGUGAAGUUCUUCUGGAUAGAGCCCUGUGCCGAUAUAAAAUAUAAUUUUUUUAUCUACUUCCACAUCUGUAGCCGCAAAUAUACCCGCAGAUAUCCGUAUCAGCAGAUGUGGAAACCUGAAGAUAUAAAGUGGAAAUCCACAAAUGUGCAGGUUUUCAGAUGCAAAAUUUGUAUCCAUAUCCACAUCUAUACCUGCAAAAAUGAGCCACAGAUAUUUGCAUCCAUCUCCCAUGGAUAUAAAGCAGAUAUCUGCAGAUAUGCAGUGCUCUAUUUAUGGGGCCCUCAAGAGUGGCUAGAAGAUGCAGGGUGCCUAUAAAGCCAAUCCUAGCCACAAGGGAGGCACUCACUAAGUGGGCAACCCACUGCAUCUUGCUUCACAGGAAACCCCUUUGCCACGUUCAACAGUACAUUUAGGCUGUGUCUAGACUGGCACUUGCUUUUGCGGAAAACCUUGCCA